rnacentral:rRNA from 1 species
AAUGAACGCUGGCGGCAUGCCUAACACAUGCAAGUCGAGCGAAGGCUUCGGCCUUAGUGGCGCACGGGUGCGUAACGCGUGGGAAUCUGCCCUCAGGUUCGGAAUAACAGCGAGAAAUUGCUGCUAAUACCGGAAGAUAUCGCGAGAUCAAAGAUUUAUCGCCUGAGGAUGAGCCCGCGUAGGAUUAGCUAGUUGGUGUGGUAAAGGCGCACCAAGGCGACGAUCCUUAGCUGGUCUGAGAGGAUGAUCAGCCACACUGGGACUGAGACACGGCCCAGACUCGUACGGGAGGCAGCAGUGGGGAAUAUUGGACAAUGGGCGAAAGCCUGAUCCAGCAAUGCCGCGUGAGUGAUGAAGGCCUUAGGGUUGUAAAGCUCUUUUACCCGGGAUGAUAAUGACAGUACCGGGAGAAUAAGCUCCGGCUAACUCCGUGCCAGCAGCCGCCGUAA